rnacentral:sRNA from 1 species
UAGGAACAGAUGGCGGUGCACUAUAAAA